rnacentral:rRNA from 1 species
AGCAGCCGCGGUAAUUCCAGCUCCAAUAGCGUAUAUUAAAGUUGUUGCAGUUAAAAAGCUCGUAGUUGAACUUCGGGAUUUGCUCAUUGGUCAGGCUUCACUGUCUGUACUGGUGUAACGAAUUCCUACUUUCUGACGAAUCUUCAUGCCAUUCACUUGGUGCGGAGGGGAAUCAGGACUGUUACUUUGAAAAAUUAGAGUGUUUAAAGCAGGCUAUUGCUCGAAUACAUUAGCAUGGAAUAAUAGAAUAGGACGGUUGGUUCUAUUUUGUUGGUUUCUAGGAUCACCGUAAUGAUUAAUAGGGAUAGUUGGGGGCAUUAGUAUUCAAUUGUCAGAGGUGAAAUUCUUGGAUUUAUUGAAGACUAACUACUGCGAAAGCAUUUGCCAAGGAUGUUUUCAUUAAUCAAGAACGAAAGUUAGGGGAUCGAAGACGGUCAGAUACCGUCGUAG